GCACACUACUCAAAGCACAGGCAGAUACAAGUUGAUGGCCUAAACAGAAAUGCUGAUAAGCUUCAAUACCGCCGAUGGUGUUUCCCGACCAGACAGGUCAGUCAACCUUGGAUUGCUCUGCACUCUAAACCUAGCGGCAUCUGGCAUCCCGCAUCCAGCCAGGGUUUGAGUCCUGCUUCUUUCUCAAUGUUCUGCCACCAUUGGCCAGCAGAGUUUCAUCAAGGCAUGUAGGAUUCACCAUGAUUCGACCGCUAAUACAUCCUUGACAUGCCGAACGGAACUACACCCACCUUUCUGUGAGCACUUGCUGCCACUCCAGCAGCAGUAGCAGUGAUGCCGUUGAGCGAUCUCGUGUACA
rnacentral:lncRNA from 1 species